GUCCCUGUAGCGCAAUGGAUACCGCGUUGGAUUUAAAAUCCAAAGGUCGUUGGUUCGAAUCCUACAUGAGACG